rnacentral:lncRNA from 1 species
AUGUGGGCUGGCUCUGAUCCUCCCCGAGUCUGCUCCGUUGGGAACAAGCACAGGGUCGUUUCCAUGGAAUACUCAGGAGCAGGGAUAAGAUGUUUUCUGGCUUCUUCACAUCUAAAUUAUCAGUGGAAGGCUUUGCUUGCCAUACACCUGGGUUUAGGCCCCGUGAUGGCCACUGAGAGAGUGAGCAGGUGGAUGUUCUGCUCUCACUGAAGGUCAUGGAAGUGAACCCUGGAUCCAUGGAGUGACUCUGCCUCCAUGCUCAGCUGACCUGGGUGGCACUGGCCAUUUUUUGGCUCAGGCACAAUCAUCAGGUAAUUAUUAUUGAACUUGGAGAUUCUCUACAAAAUAAGGCCAUUUCUUAACACAUGACGUGUAUCAAAAUAACACCAAUUCAGACAGAUAUAAAAAUAUAAAACCAAUCAUAGAACUAAAAGAAAAACAAUUCUAGAACUAAAAAAUGUUGUAGAAGGCGAGGUCUAGAUAGUUAUAAAUCAAAGGCUGCCAACAGCAUGGUACAGCCAGUGUUUGAGGUGUCAACCUGAACAAUUGGAGAUUAGAUUGGGUUCUCUGGACUUCUGAGGGAUCUUAAACAAAUAAUGUGAUUGCUCUUUCCCGUUUAUGGGAUGUAGAUAACACACUUUCCUCGAAGAUGUAGAGUGAGGUAAGUACCAGGAAGGUCACACAGUUCCUGGAAUAUGGGAGUAGAAAAAUGCCUUGGACUGAGGU